rnacentral:RNase_MRP_RNA from 1 species
GGAACGCAGCACGGACUGCUAUCGGGCGGCCUCCUCCUGCACCCCAGAGGCUGCAACCCCUCCAGCCCUGGGAGGAGGAGGUGUCUAGCCUGGGGAAAUUCCCCGGAUACUUGGGCAGAGAGUGCCAUCCGGAACCCGGAACAACCCUCGAGCGCCCCUGGCAACAUGCGGCGUAGAUGAGUGGUGGUGGCAGGUGGGGUGUCGUCGCUCUCGGGCGGCGUGCGCUCCUCCUGCUUCGCCUCUCGGAGUCCUAGCCGGGCGCUCGGGCCGUUUUCAUCACAGCAUAGAAAUGCAGUCAGCGUCGGCGCCUCCGCCGUGCCGGCGCCAACUCGACGGGGAUUACCUGCCGCGUUU